GAUGAACGCUAGCGGCAGGCUUAACACAUGCAAGUCGAGGGGUAUAGUUCUUCGGUGCUAGAGACCGGCGCACGGGUGCGUAACGCGUAUGCAAUCUACCUUUUGCAGAGGGAUAGCCCAGAGAAAUUUGGAUUAAUACCUCAUAGUAUGUGAGAAUGGCAUCAUUUUCACAUUAAAGUCACAACGGCAAAAGAUGAGCGUGCGUCCCAUUAGCUUGUUGGUAAGGUAACGGCUUACCAAGGCAACGAUGGGUAGGGGUCCUGAGAGGGAGAUCCCCCACACUGGUACUGAGACACGGACCAGACUCCUACGGGAGGCAGCAGUGAGGAAUAUUGGACAAUGGGCGCAAGCCUGAUCCAGCCAUGCCGCGUGCAGGAUGACGGUCCUAUGGAUUGUAAACUGCUUUUGUACAGGAAGAAACACUGGUUCGUGAACCAGCUUGACGGUACUGUAAGAAUAAGGAUCGGCUAACUCCGUGCCAGCCGCCGCGGUAACAC
rnacentral:rRNA from 1 species